CGGCCGCGUCGACGGCUAACGCCUGAAGCUAGCGACUGAAGCCCCGGUGAACGGCGGCCGUAACUAUAACGGUCCUAAGGUAGCGAAAUUCCUUGUCGGGUAAGUUCCGACCCGCACGAAAGGCGUAACGAUUUGGGCGCUGUCUCGGAGAGAGGCUCGGCGAAAUAGGAUUGUCUGUGAAGAUACGGACUACCUGCACCUGGACAGAAAGACCCUAUGAAGCUUUACUGUAGCCUGGAAUUGGGUUCGGGCUUUAACUGCGCAGGAUAGGUGGGAGGCUAUGAGGCUGUUCUUGUGGGAACAGUGGAGCCAACGGUGAGAUACCACUCUGUUAAGGCUAGAAUUCUAACUUGUUGCCGUUAUCCGGCACGAGAACAGUUUCAGGUGGGCAGUUUGACUGGGGCGGUCGCCUCCUAAAUGGUAACGGAGGCGCGCAAAGGUUCUCUCAGGCUGGUUGGAAAUCAGCCGUAGAGUGUAAAAGCACAAGAGAGCUUGACUGUGAGACGAACAUGUCGAGCAGGGACGAAAGUCGGCUUUAGUGAUCCGACGGCAGG
rnacentral:rRNA from 1 species